rnacentral:lncRNA from 1 species
UAUAUAUAUACCCUUUCAUCGACCCCACCAUUAAAACCAAAUAUCAAUACUUUUGUCACCCCUUAUAGGAUCAACAUAAUGGCGUAGGGGGAGACGCUGAUGAACACCGAUGAAUAUUCAUCGUGUUCAUCAGGUUGUUUUUCAGAAGUUCACUGAAAAGCCUCAAAUCCGAAAAAACAAUAAAUCAAUCCCAUCUAAAAUCACUCCCUGAACACGUUUCUAACCAUAGAUUAAACAAACAAUAAUUUCGUAGAUCACACACCGUUCCCAAAUUGAACUCUAAUUUUGAAAACCUCAGAUCAAUGAUUAAAAAUUCUAAAGUCACGCAAUUAAGUACAUAUAAGACAAGAAGCAACAAGAAAAAAUGAGGAAAAUGCAAGAAUUAAGGAGAUGAGGGAUUCGCCAGAGCUUUUUAACUCCAGCAAGGGUUUUCGGACAAUCGUAAGGUGAGUUUUCUUUCUCUCUCUGUGUAUUAUUUCUGCUUGUGGUUUGCUUCUCUUCCUUUACUCCUUCUGUCUCUUCCUCCUUUGUGUAUUAUGUAUCCGAUGAGGGUGUGUGGUUUAAACUCCGGUUAACUCAAGUUAUAACAAGGACCUUGAGUAACCUUCUCUUGGAGCUUUAAUGAGUUUUAGGUUGGGUAGAGAUUUAUGGUUAUUUCUUCCUCUUGAGAGUGCAACGAGAGGAGGAUUUUAUAGGGAGUGAAGUGAAGGAUUGGGAUGAAAAAAAGAGGGGGGAAUGUAUUUCUAUUAGAGGAGUUUUUGAGGGAAUUCUCAUUAGUGAUCCUCGUGAAUUGAUAGAGUGUAAGGUUGGGAUCAGUUUGAUGAGAAAGUUUGUUAUAAUUUGUGUUUGUUUGACGAAUGUAUGAACUUGAUUUUGGUGAAUGGUAUGUAUGUGAGGAAUGUUCAUGUGUUUGUGUAGUUGCUUCUGCGUUUGUCAAUUGUUUUGAUAUUUGUUUUCACCUUAAUUUAUUUAAUUCAAAUAUGUAUGCAUGUGUUAUGCUGUGAUAAAUGAUGGAUUGGCCAUAAAUGAUGAAAAAUUACGUGUUCUGCUUUGCCUACUAAUUAAUUUGAUUUAUGUUUUCUUUUAAUUUCAAAACUAUGCAUAUUGUUAUAUGUGUUUGUAUGAUGUUAGUGUUGUUGAUGAUGCUUUUGGUGUUGAUGUUGUUGUGAUUAUGUCAAUGAGGUGUAUGCUAUUAGUUUGUCACGUGGGUUUUUUCUCAAUUUGUUGGACUUGUUUUUUAGGAUGAUGCACAAUCAUGAGGGAUAAAUAGGGUGAUGACAUGAUAAUGCCAUAAGUUAAAUGGGAUGGCAUGAUGAAGCAGGAAAAACAUGCACAUGAUAUGUUGAUGAUGAAUGAUGGAGUUGAAGUCAUGCUGGAAGCGUGAGGCUCAAAACAAAUAAGCAUUUUUUAUGUUUUUAUUUACAUUUUAUGUAUGUGCUGUACCCUAAAAUUUAUCCUCUCCUUUUUACUUUUCAUCUAACAUGUGGCUUGAGUUUUCAGUUGUACUCAUUCAUGCCUCAUUCAUGUUCAUCCUUCAUUCAUGACUAACACUUGCUAAC